AGAGUUUGAUCCUGGCUCAGGAUGAACGCUAGCGGGAGGCCUAACACAUGCAAGCCGAGCGGUAUUUGUUCUUCGGAACAGAGAGAGCGGCGUACGGGUGCGGAACACGUGUGCAACCUGCCUUUAUCUGGGAGAUAGCCUUUCGAAAGGAAGAUUAAUAUCCCAUAAUAUAUUAAGUGGCAUCACUUGAUAUUGAAAGCUCCGGCGGAUAGAGAUGGGCACGCGCAAGAUUAGAUAGUUGGUGAGGUAACGGCUCACCAAGUCAGUGAUCUUUAGGGGGCCUGAGAGGGUGAUCCCCCACACUGGUACUGAGACACGGACCAGACUCCUACGGGAGGCAGCAGUGAGGAAUAUUGGACAAUGGGUGAAAGCCUGAUCCAGCCAUCCCGCGUGAAGGACGACGGCCCUAUGGGUUGUAAACUUCUUUUGUACAGGGAUAAACCUUUCCACGUGUGGAAAGCUGAAGGUACUAUACGAAUAAGCACCGGCUAACUCCGUGCCAGCAGCCGCGGUAAUACGGAGGGUGCAAGCGUUAUCCGGAUUUAUUGGGCGUAAAGCGUCCGCAGGUGGCAGUUCAAGUCUGCUGUCAAAGGUCGGGGCUCAACCCCGAACAGGCAGUGGAAACUGAACAGCUAGAGUACGGUAGGGGCAGAGGGAAUUCCCAGUGUAGCGGUGAAAUGCGUAGAGAUUGGGAAGAACACCGGUGGCGAAAGCGCUCUGCUAGGCCGAAACUGACACUCAUGGACGAAAGCUAGGGGAGCGAAUGGGAUUAGAUACCCCAGUAGUCCUAGCCGUAAACGAUGGAUACUAGGCGUUGUGAGUAUCGACCCUCACGGUGUCGUAGCUAACGCGUUAAGUAUCCCGCCUGGGGAGUACGCGCGCAAGCGUGAAACUCAAAGGAAUUGACGGGGGCCUGCA
rnacentral:rRNA from 1 species